UACGUAGGGGGCAAGCGUUGUCCGGAUUUAUUGGGCGUAAAGAGCGUGUAGGCGGCCAUACAGGUCAGCUGUGAAAACUCGAGGCUCAACCUCGAGACGUCGGUUGAAACCGUAUGGCUAGAGUCCGGAAGAGGAGAGUGGGAAUUCCCCGGUGUAGCGGUGAAAAUGCGCAGAUAUCGGGGAAGAACACCCGUGGCGAAGGCGGCUCUCUGGGACGGUACUGACGCUGAGACGCGAAAGCGUGGGGAGCGAACAGG
rnacentral:rRNA from 1 species